UACGUAGGGCGCAAGCGUUGUCCGGAAUUAUUGGGCGUAAAGAGCUCGUAGGCGGCCAACUAAGUCAGACGUGAAAUCCCUCGGCUUAACCGGGGGACUGCGUCUGAUACUGGAUGGCUUGAGUUCGGGAGAGGGAUGCGGAAUUCCAGGUGUAGCGGUGAAAUGCGUAGAUAUCUGGAGGAACACCGGUGGCGAAGGCGGUUCUCUGGGCAUGAUCUGACGCUGAGGAGCGAAAGUGUGGGGAGCGAACAGG
rnacentral:rRNA from 1 species